CCUACGGGAGGCAGCAGUGAGGAAUAUUGGUCAAUGGACGCAAGUCUGAACCAGCCAUGCCGCGUGAAGGACGAAGGUUCCAUGCAUUGUAAACUGCUUUUGUCAGAGGGCAAACUCAGACUCGAGUGCCUGACCGAAAGUACUUUAAGAAAAAGCAUCGGCUAACUCCGUGCCAGCAGCCGCGGUAAUACGGAGGAUUCAAGCGUUAUCCGGAUUUAUUGGGUUUAAAGGGUGCGUAGGCGGGCGGUUAAGUCAGCGGUGAAAGCCCGGGGCUCAACUCCGGGAUAGCCUCUGAUACUGUAUGGCUAGAGAGUGGGAGCGGUAGGCGGAAUG
rnacentral:rRNA from 1 species